GCUCAGAUUUGAAAUCGUGUCUUUGGCACGAGUUGUAGAGUGUAAGCGGGAGUCUUUGUGGAGCACGGUGUCCAAGUCCCUUGGAACAGGGCGCCUGAGAGGGUGAGAGCCCCGUGGGGUGCCGUGCGAAGCUCUGAGGCCCUGCUGACGAGUCGAGUUGUUUGGGAAUGCAACUCCAAGUGGGUGGGAAAUUCCAUCUAAGGCUAAAUACUGGAGAGAGACCGAUAGCGAACAAGUACUGUGAAGGAAAGAUGAAAAGCACUUUGAAAAGAGAGUGAAACAGCACGUGAAAUUGUUGA
rnacentral:rRNA from 1 species